AUUGAACGCUGGCGGCAGGCUUAACACAUGCAAGUCGAGCGGAGAUGAGGUGCUUGCACCUUAUCUUAGCGGCGGACGGGUGAGUAAUGCUUAGGUAUCUGCCUAUUAGUGGGGGACAACAUUCCGAAAGGAAUGCUAAUACCGCAUACGCCCUACGGGGGAAAGCAGGGGAUCUUCGGACCUUGCGCUAAUAGAUGAGCCUAAGUCGGAUUAGCUAGUUGGUGGGGUAAAGGCCUACCAAGGCGGCGAUCUGUAGCGGGUCUGAGAGGAUGAUCCGCCACACUGGGACUGAGACACGGCCCAGACUCCUACGGGAGGCAGCAGUGGGGAAUAUUGGACAAUGGGCGGAAGCCUGAUCCAGCCAUGCCGCGUGUGUGAAGAAGGCCUUUUGGUUGUAAAGCACUUUAAGCGAGGAGGAGGCUACCUGGAUUAAUACUCUAGGAUAGUGGACGUUACUCGCAGAAUAAGCACCGGCUAACUCUGUGCCAGCCGCCGCAGUAAAAC
rnacentral:rRNA from 1 species